GUCAGAUGUGAAAUCCCCGGGCUUAACCUGGGAACUGCGUUUGAAACUGCCAGGCUAGAGUGUGGCAGAGGGGGGUGGAAUUCCACGUGUAGCGGUGAAAUGCGUAGAUAUGUGGAGGAACACCGAUGGCGAAGGCAGCCCCCUGGGCUAACACUGACGCUCAUGUACGAAAGCGUGGGGAGCAAACAGGAUUAGAUACCCUGGUAGUCCACGCCCUAAACGAUGUCAACU
rnacentral:rRNA from 1 species